rnacentral:rRNA from 1 species
GAUGAACGCUGGCGGCGUGCCUAACACAUGCAAGUCGAACGGAGUCCAGCCUUUAAGACCUUCGGGACCAAGCGGGGAAGACUGAGUGGCGGACGGGUGAGUAACACGUGGGCAACCUGGCUCAUAGAGGGGGAUAACAGAGAGAAAUUUCUGCUAAUACCGCAUAAGCACACACUGCCGCAUGGCAGAGGGUGAAAAGAGAAUCGCUAUGAGAUGGACCCGCGUCUGAUUAGCCAGUUGGCAGGGUAAGAGCCUACCAAAGCGACGAUCAGUAGCCGAUCUGAGAGGAUGAACGGCCACAUUGGGACUGAGACACGGCCCAAACUCCUACGGGAAGCAGCAGUGGGGGAUAUUGCACAAUGGGGGGAACCCUGAUGCAGCGACGCCGCGUGAGUGAAGAAGUAUUUCGGUAUGUAAAGCUCUAUCAGCAGGGAAGAUAAUGACAGUACCUGAAUAAGAAGCCCCGGCUAACUACGUG